GUUUGAUCCUGGCUCAGAUUGAACUUUUGCGGAAUGCUUUACACAUGCAAGUCGAACGAUGAACCUUAUCUUGCUAAGGGGAUUAGUGGCGAACGGGUGAGUAAUAUAUCAGAACGUGCCUUGUAAUGGGGGAUAACUAGUCAAAAGAUUACCUAAUACCGCAUACCCCCUGAGGGGGAAAGUAGGGGAUCUUCGGACCUUACGUUAUAAGAGCGGCCGAUAUCUGAUUAGCUAGUUGGUGGGGUAAUGGCCUACCAAGGCGACGAUCAGUAGCUGGUCUGAGAGGACGACCAGCCACACUGGAACUGAGACACGGUCCAGACUCCUACGGGAGGCAGCAGUGGGGAAUUUUGGACAAUGGGCGCAAGCCUGAUCCAGCCAUUCCGCGUGAGUGAAGAAGGCCUUCGGGUUGUAAAGCUCUUUCGCAAGGGAAGAAAACUUACUUUCUAAUAAAGAGUGAGGCUGACGGUACCUUGAUAAGAAGCACCGGCUAACUACGUGCCAGCAGCCGCGGUAAUACGUAGGGUGCGAGCGUUAAUCGGAAUUACUGGGCGUAAAGCGUGCGCAGGCGGUUUGGCAAGUCAGAUGUGAAAUCCCCGAGCUCAACUUGGGAACUGCGUUUGAAACUGCCAGACUAGAAUAUGUCAGAGGGGGGUAGAAUUCCACGUGUAGCAGUGAAAUGCGUAGAGAUGUGGAGGAAUACCAAUGGCGAAGGCAGCCCCCUGGGAUAAUAUUGACGCUCAUGCACGAAAGCGUGGGGAGCAAACAGGAUUAGAUACCCUGGUAGUCCACGCCCUAAAC
rnacentral:rRNA from 1 species